AUCCAGCUGACCGGUCCGAAAUAGGAGGAAACGUGUGUCGUGGAU
rnacentral:hammerhead_ribozyme from 1 species